rnacentral:rRNA from 1 species
CCUACGGGAGGCAGCAGUGAGGAAUAUUGGUCAAUGGGCGGGAGCCUGAACCAGCCAAGUCGCGUGAGGGAUGACGGUCCUACGGAUUGUAAACCUCUUUAGGCGGGGAGCAAUUCCGUGCACGCGUGCGCGGAGGGAGAGUACCCGCAGAAUAAGCAUCGGCUAACUCCGUGCCAGCAGCCGCGGUAAUACGGAGGAUGCGAGCGUUAUCCGGAUUUAUUGGGUUUAAAGGGUGCGUAGGCGGAAUUUUAAGUCAGCGGUAAAAAGUCCGGGCUCAACCCGGGCGGGCCGUUGAAACUGGUGUUCUUGAGUGGGCGAGAAGUAUGCGGAAUGCGUGGUGUAGCGGUGAAAUGCAUAGAUAUCACGCAGAACUCCGAUUGCGAAGGCAGCAUACCGGCGCCCGACUGACGCUGAGGCACGAAAGCGUGGGGAUCGAACAGGAUUAGAUACCCGAGUAGUC